rnacentral:rRNA from 1 species
UGGGGAAUUUUGGACAAUGGGGGCAACCCUGAUCCAGCAAUGCCGCGUGUGUGAAGAAGGCCUUCGGGUUGUAAAGCACUUUUGUCCGGAAAGAAAACGUCGUGGUUAAUACCCGUGGCGGCUGACGGUACCGGAAGAAUAAGCACCGGCUAACUACGUGCCAGCAGCCGCGGUAAUACGUAGGGUGCAAGCGUUAAUCGGAAUUACUGGGCGUAAAGCGUGCGCAGGCGGUCCGCUAAGACAGAUGUGAAAUCCCCGGGCUUAACCUGGGAACUGCAUUUGUGACUGGCGGGCUAGAGUAUGGCAGAGGGGGGUAGAAUUCCACGUGUAGCAGUGAAAUGCGUAGAGAUGUGGAGGAAUACCGAUGGCGAAGGCAGCCCCCUGGGCCAAUACUGACGCUCAUGCACGAAAGCGUGGGGGAGCAAACAGGAUUAGAUACCCUGGUAGUCCACGCCCUAAACGAUGUCAACUAGUUG